AACCCUAAAUUCGCAUGAGUGCUCUUAUAUAAGACGUUGGCGAUGGAAACGAAACCACGGGAUUAUCGUGUAGCCGCCUCUCAACUAUUUCUUUGUGGUAUUUUGUUCUUCCAUUUCUCUGAUUUGAUUUCAUAAACUAAUACAAACAUUAAGCACCACGUAGCCCCUUGCAUCUUCAAGUUUAGUUGCAAGGAAAUUACGAGAAGGUUUUAUAGGUUCGACUUUGGAACACAGAUACAUUUGUACAGUUGGUUAGAGGGAGAAUUUGAAGAGGGUGAACGAAUUAGAAGAAUAAAAUGACUUGUGUCCACGUUCAACCAACAUGGAGAAAUGCGUGAAUGGGUGAAUAUUAAGACCGAUCAAAAUGCUCGUAGGAUGAUGUAUUACAUGUUCAAAAUUGUUUUAAUGGUUGUAAUUGCAUAGUUGUAUUGUAUUUGUUAUAAUUAUUUGUAUUACUAUUUAUGUAAUGGUACUUUUGUCAUAGACGUCUAAUAUGAAAUAAAUUUAGUUUUUCAUA